rnacentral:rRNA from 1 species
UACAGAGGUCCCAAGCGUUGUUCGGAUUCACUGGGCGUAAAGGGUGCGUAGGUGGCGGACUAAGUCGGGUGUGAAAUCUCCGGGCUCAACCCGGAGGGUGCGCCCGAAACUGGUUUGCUGGAGGGUGGGAGGGGAGACUGGAAUUCUCGGUGUAGCAGUGAAAUGCGUAGAUAUCGAGAGGAACACCGGUGGCGAAGGCGAGUCUCUGGACCACUCCUGACACUGAGGCACGAAAGCCGGGGGAGCAAACAGG